CCUGAGUUGGGUCGAUGAUGAGAACCUUAUAUUAUCCUGAAGAGAGGUGAUGACUUAAAAAUCAUGCUCAAUAGGAUUACGCUGAGGCCCAGUCUAGGUGAGAGUUUUGGAAGAGGAUGCUGGGAUCCUGAGGUCCCCUGGUAGAGCCAAUUGUAUUUUGGGCUGGAGACCUGGAAGCCCUGAAGGGCAUCUGGGAGGCCCAACCCUGUCUCUGUGCUCCUCCAUGAGGCAGCCCUGGCUCCCCAUGUAGGCUUGGUGAUGGCCUUCCUGUUCCCUGGGGGUGGGGCACAUGGGUAGCUCCUCCCUGACCCCCAUUCUCUCCUGUGUCUUUCAGUGAGCUCUUCCCCACAGGUGGGCCCCCUGGCAUUGACUAGCAUCGUGAGCUCUUCUGCCCAGCAGCCUCCCUGGCAGUGACCAGCAUAGAUGCUGACCCUGGAGGAAGAAUUGCACUGGGCCCACUGGCCCCGGGAAAAUGUCCCUCAGCCAGGUGCUUAGCCCCUGGUAAUCUGAAGCUCAGGCCCUUCCUGAUGCCCUGGUCUCCUGCACUGAGCUGUGUGAGCUCUUCAGCCCAGGUGGGCUCCCUGACACUGAUGCGCAUAGAUGGUGAGCCUGGAGGAAGACUUGCAUUGGGCCCAAUGGACCCAGGCCAGUGGCCAUCAGCCAGGUGCCCACCCUGGUGUGCUGAAGCGCGGGACCUACCUGUUGUCCUGGUUUCCUACACUGAGCUGAGUGAGCUCUUCAACCCAGGCGGGGCACCCUGGCAUUCACCAGCAUAGACUGUGAAAUGGGAGGAAGAAUUGUGUUGGGCCCAAUGGCCCUGGGCCAGUAUCCGUCAGCCUGGUGUCCAGCCCCUGGUGUGCUGAAGCUCAUGCCCUUCCUGGUGCCCUAGUUUCCUGCACUGAGCUUGUGAGCUCUUUUGCCCAGAAGACUCCCUGGCAUUGAUCGGCAUAGAUGGCAGCGCUGGAGGAGGACUUGUACUGGGGCCGCUGGCCCCACAUCAGUGUCCGUCAUCCCGGCGUCCAGCCCCUGGUGUGCUGAAGCUCAGGCCCUUCCUUGUGCCCUAGUCUCCUGCACUGAGCUUGUGAGCUCUUCUGCUCAGGCGGGUCCCCUGGCAUUGACCAGCAUAGAUGGUGGCCCUGGAGGAGGACUUGUAUUGGGGCCACUGGCCCCACGUCAGUGUUCGUCAGCCUGGCAUCCAGCCCCUGGUGUGCUGAAGCUCAGGCCCUUCCUGUUGCCCUAGUCUCCUGCACUGAGCUUGUGAGCUCUUCUGCCCAGGUGGUCCCCCUGGUCUUGAUGGGCAUAGAUGGUGAGCCUGAAGGAAGACUUGCAUCAGGACCAAUGGACCCUGGCAAGUGUCCGUCAGCCAGGUGCUCAGCCCCUGGUGCACUGAAGCUCAGGCCCUUCCUGGCCCCUUGAUCUCCUGCACUGAGCUGUGUGAGCUCUUCUGCCAAGGGGGGGCCUCCUGGCAUUGACCAACAUAGAUGGUGAGCCUGGAGGAAGAUUUGCAUUGGGCCCAAUGGCCCUGGGCCAGUGUCUGUCAGCCAGUUUCCCAGCCCCUGGUGCACUGAAGCUCAGGCCUUUCCUGGCAUCCUGGCCUCCUGCACUGAGCUGUGUGAGUGCUUCUGCCCAGGCAGGCCACUUGGCAUUGACCGGUAUAGAUGGUGAGCCUGGAGGAAGAUGUGUGGGACCCGCAGGCCGAGGGCCAGUGUCUCUCAGCCAGGUGCUCAGCCCCCAGUGGGCUGAAACUCUGACCCUUCCUGGCACCCUGCUCUCCUGCACUGUGCUGUGAUGGUGAGACUUCUGUUGGGCUUGCUUUUCCUGGGCCAGUGUCCAUCAGCCAGGUGCUCAGCCAUCGGUGCGCUGAAGCUCCAGCCCUUCCUGGUGCCCUGAUCUCCUGCACUGAGCUGUGAUGAUGAGCUCUUUCACCUAGGAGGGCCCCUUGGCAUUGACUGGCAUAGAUGGUGACCCUGAAGAAAGACUUCAGUUGGGCCUGAAGGCCCCGGGCCAGUGUCCAUCAUCCAGGUGCUCAGCUCCCAGUGCACUGAAGCUCAGACCCUUCCUGGUUCCCUGGUCUCUUGCACUGAGCUCUGAUGGUGAGACUUGAGGAAGACUUCCACUGGGCCUGCUUUUCCUGAGCCAGUGCCCAUCACCCAGGUGCUCAGUCCCUGGUGCACUGAAGCUCCAGCCCUUCCUGGCGCCCUGGUCUCCUGAACUGAGCUGUGUGAGCUCUUCUGCCAAGCGGUUCCCCUGGCAUUGACCAACAUAGAUGGUGAGCCUGGAGGAAGACUUGCGUUGGGCCCAAAGGCCCUAGACCAGUGUCUGUCAGCCAGGUUCCCAACCCCCGAUGCGCUGAAGCUCAAGCCUUUCCUGGCACCCUGGUCUCCUGCACUGAGCUGUGUGAGCUCUUCUGCCCAGGCGGGCCCCCUGGAAUUGAUGGGUAUAGAUGGUGACCCCGGAGGAAAAUUUGUGUUGGGCCCACUAUCCCUGGGCCAAUGUCAGUCAGCUAGGCACCCAGCCCCCAGUGCGCUGAAGCUCAGGACCUUCCUAGUGCCCUCGGCUCCUGCACUGAGCUCUGAUGGUAAGCCUGGAGGAAGACUUGUGUUGGGCCCACAGGCCCCAGGCCAAUGUCUGUCAGCCAGGUGCUCAGCCUCUGGUGCGCUGAAACUCUGACCCUUCCUGGCACACUGGUCUCCUGCACUGAGCUGGGAUUUUCCACCUAGGAGGUCCACCUGGCAUUGACUGACAUAGAUGGUGAGACUUCUGUCGGCCUCGCUUUUCCUGGGCCAGUGUCCAUCAGCCAGGUGCUCAGCCCCAGUGCACUGAAGCUCCAGCCCUUCCUGGCGCCCUGGACUGAGCUGUGUGAGCUCUUCUGCCAAGGGGGUCCUCCUGGCAUUGACCAACAUAGGUGGUGAGCCUGGAGGAAGACUUGCAUUGGGCCCAAUGGCCCUGGACCAGUGUCUGUCAGCCAGGUUCCCAGCCCCCGAUGCGCUGAAGCUCAAGCCUUUCCUGGCACCCUGGUCUCCUGCACUGAGCUGUGUGAGCUCUUCGGCCCAAGUGGUCCCCCCGGCCUUAAGCGGCAUAGUGAGCUCUUCCAAACAGGUGGGCUCCCUAGCAUUGACCGACAGAGUGAGCUCUGCCACCCAGGACAUCCCCCUGGCAUUGACUGGCAUAGAUGCUGACCCUGGAGGAAGACUUGUGUCGGGCCCCCAGGCCCCAGGCCAGUGUCCAUCAGCCAGGUGCUCAGCUCCCAGUGCGCUGAAGCUCAGACCCUUCCUGGCACCCUGGUGUCCAGCACUGAGCUGUGUGAGCUUUUCCACCCAGGUGGGCCCCCUGGCAUUGACCGACAUAGAUGAUGAGACUGGAGGAAGACUUCCAUUGGGCCCACUUUUCCUGGGCCAGUGUCCAUCAGCCAGGUGCUCAGCCCCUGGUGUACUGAAGCUCCAGCCUUUCCUGGUGCCCCAGUCUUCUGCACUAAGCUGUGUGAGCUCUUCCACCCAGGAGGGCCCCUUGGCAUUGACUGGCAUAGAUGGUGAGACGGGAGGAAGACUUGUGUUGGGCCUGCUGUUCCUGGGCCAGUGGCCAUCAGCCUGUUGCCCAGCCCCUGAGGCGCUGAAGCUCAGGCCCUUCCUCACACCCUGGUCUCCUGCACUAGCUGUGUGAGCUCUUCUGCCCAGGUGGGGCCCAUGGCCUUACACGACAUAGGAGCACGCAUUUCUUGAAGUCCUGCAAAGGUGAUGGUGGUCCAGACAGGAGAGGGUUCCUUCAGCCCAACAUAGCGCAGCUCCCAGCUGAAACUCGGAAGGCUGGUCAGGCCUCGAGGACUGCCCAGGCCACAUGAGGGUUUGGUGGCCGGGAGGGCCAAUGAUGCUCUGCGUCUGUGUUGGAUCAGUGUUCUUCAUGGAUUCCAUCACAUGGUGAGCCUUGAGGAAGACUUGUAUUGGGCCCCCACAGGCCCCAGGCCAGUGUCCGUCAGCCUGGUGCUCACCCCCAGUGUGCUGAAGCUCAGACCCUCCGUGGCACCCUGGUCUCCUGCACUGAGCUGUGUGAACUUUUCCUCCCAGAUGGGCCCCCUGGCAUUGACUGGCAUAGAUGGUGAGACCGGAGGAAGACUUGCAUUGGGCCUGUUGUUCCUGGGCCAGUGGCCAUCAGCCUGUUGCCCAGCCCCUGAUGCGCUGAAGCUCGGGCCCUUCCUCGCGCCCUGGUCUCCUGCACUGAGCUGUGUGAGCUCUUCUGCCCAGGUGAGGCCCAUGGCCUUAAGCGGCAUAGAUGGUGAGCCUGGAGGAAGACUUGUAUUGGGACCCUACAGGCCCCAGGCCAGUGUCUGUCAGCCUGGUGCUCAUCCCCCAGUGCGCUGAAGCUCAGACCCUCCCUGGCACCCUGGUCUCCUGCACUGAGCUGUGAUGGUGAGUCUGGAGGAAGACUUGUGUUGGACCCCCACAGGCCCCAGGCCAGUGUCCAUCAGCCUGGUGCUAAUCCCCCAGUGCUCUGGAGUUUGGACCCUCCCUGGCACCCUGGUCUCCUGCACUGAGCUGUGUGAGCUCUUCCACCCGGGCGGGCCCCCGGCAUUGACUGGCAUAGGUGGUGAGCCCGGAGGAGGACUUGCGUUCGGCCCGCUGGUCCCAGUGUGUCCGGAAUUGGUGGGUUCUUGGUCUCACUGACUUCAAGAAUGAAGCUGCGGACCCUCGCUAUGAUGAUAUGGAAGAAAAGCACUCUUUGGCCUGUUGUGACUGGGACAGUUGACAGCACCCAGGUGUCCUUUAAUGAAAAUGCUCUUGACACCAAUGCAUCCUAGCAUCACAGCUUCAGGAAGCCUUCUCAAGUGUGCAUGGGGAGUACUAUGUCUUUCAUCAAUAAUGAAAUCUUCUGAUUUGUAAGACAUGCUGCCAAGAGAUGUGCCAUUCUAUUAUAAAAGAUCAGUAGCUUCCUUUACCGACGUGUAUAUUCUAUCUAGAACAUUGAGCUAUGGAAGACUCCCACCUAAGGGAAUUAGUUUUACACCUUCAGAUAAAGACUGCUGAGAAGAGCACCCUCUGGUGUUGUCACAGAGGCAAGUGCUACCGCACAGGCAUGCUGCAGUGAAUUUAACUGAUCCUCUGUCCCUGCAACCGUUGUUUAAGGAUGCUAUUCUGAAAAGACUGUGGAGGAAGAAAACCCUUUACCCUGUUGUUCAGGGAGAAACUGACACCACUCAACUGCCUGGCACUGAAAAUGUGGCAUCCAGUCCACUUUACCAUCAGUGUUUAAGGAAACCAUCUCUGAUAAGGAUGACUGAGGAAGAGUACUCUUUGGCUUGUUGACACCAGCACAGCUGACACACCCAGAUAUCUGUUUGGUCUCCUGUGAACUUUCAACCAGGAUUUAAGGAUGCCACUCUGGUUAAAAGCUGAAACAACUUCAAGGAAACUUCAGGGAAAAGAGAAGGCCUGGAAUCUGAUCCUCCACUUCAGAGAACAGGGGUGGUGGAGUCUAUGGCCCUUCUCCUUGAAUCUGAGUGAAAUUAGUGAGUCUUUCAAUCCAAAGACUACAGUCAUACCUCAACUAUCUACAGAGGACUGGUUCCAGGACUCCCAUGGAUCCCAAAAUCCAAGGAUGCUUCGAAUCCCUUAUAUAAAAUGGCAUGGUAUUUGCAUAUAACCUACAUGCAUCUUCAAAUAUGUUAAACCAUCUCUAGAUUACUUAUAAUACCAAAUACAAUGUAAUGCUAUGUAAACAGUUGUUACAAUGUAUUGUCAAAGACAAGCUCUCCUUGCCAAUCCCUGACCAAAUGAGAGAUUCAUGAGCAAAAUAAAUAGUUGCUGAUAUUUAAGGCACUAAGUUUGGGGCAAUGUAUUACACAGCAAUAAAUAACUGGAACAGCAUAGUAAAUUCUAGUUAAAAAUACUAAACUACUAAGUUUUAGUUAACAUACAUGCUCAAGUUAAGGGUGUGGUAUACUAACAACUGCAACUUACUUUGAAAAGCAUAAAAAAAGACACUAGAAGAAGACAGGAUGGAUAGAUGGACAAGAUAGAAGACAAUAACAAAUAGAACAAAAUGUUGUGAAAUUAUAUUCUACAAUUAUUUUAAAGUCUGUGUGGUUUGAAAAAUUGUACGAUAAAAUGAAGAGUGAAAUAAAGACAUUUCCAUACAAACAAAAGCUGAAAGAUUUUGUAGCCAGUAGACCUAUACUUUAGAAAUGUUUAAGAAAUUUUUUCAAGUAAAAGGAAAAUAACACCAGCAACAAACUUGGAUCUACAAAAAGGAAUCUCCACAAAGAAAAAUAAAUAAAAAUGGUAAAUAUGAAGGUAAAUAUAAAGGAAUGUUAUUCUUAGUUUUUAAGUUUCUUCGUAAGACAACUGGCCUUUGAAAGAAAUAGUUUCAAACGCUGCUGUGGAAUCUAUAACACAUAUAGAAGUAAAAUGUUAAGAUCAUAAUACCAAAAAGAAUGAGGGAGAGUAAAUGGAUGUAUACUAUUCCAAAAUUCUUACAUUAUACAUUAAGAGGAAUAAUAUUUUUGAAGGUAGAUUGAGGUAAGUUAAAGGUGCAUAUUGUAAAUCCUAGAAGUAUCACUGGGGGGAAAAAAAACAGAGGGACAAGCUAAUAAUGGAGACAAUACAAAAUUCCAAAAAUGCUCCAUUAACCGAAAAGAAGGCAGAAAAGGAAGAAAAGAUUAGACAAAUAGAAAACAAAUAGUGUCUUAAACACAAUUAUAUUGCCAACUGCAAUAAAUGUAAAUGGACUUAAUCAAAAAGCAACGAUCGUAAAAAGUCAAUCUGAAAGCAAGAUGCAACUAUAUGCUAUCUAAAAGAAAGACAUUAAAUGACCAAUAAGCUGAAAAUAAAAACACAGCAAAAUGAUAUAAUGUGCAAAAAUUAAUCAUAAGAAAGGAAUGGAUACACUAAUAUCAAAGUAGACUUUAGAUAAGGAACAUUACCAGCGAUAAACAGAGACAUUUCAUAAUGAUAAAGACAUCAAUUAAUCAAGGAGAUCUAACAGUCCUAAAUGUGAACACACCUAAGGACACAA
ensembl:lncRNA SNHG14 small nucleolar RNA host gene 14